rnacentral:rRNA from 1 species
CCUACGGGAGGCAGCAGUGGGGGAUAUUGCGCAAUGGGCGAAAGCCUGACGCAGCGACGCCGCGUGAGGGAUGAAGGUCUUCGGAUCGUAAACCUCUGUCAGCAGGGAAGAACGGUCACUGUGCUAAUCAGCAGUGAAUUGACGGUACCUGCAAAGGAAGCACCGGCUAACUCCGUGCCAGCAGCCGCGGUAAUACGGAGGGUGCGAGCGUUAAUCGGAAUUACUGGGCGUAAAGGGCUCGUAGGCGGUAUGUCAAGUCAAGGGGGAAAUCCCCGCGCUCAACGUGGGAACUGCCUUUGAAACUGGUAAACUGGAGUGUGUGAGAGGAUAGUGGAAUUCCAGGUGUAGGAGUGAAAUCCGUAGAUAUCUGGAGGAACAUCAGUGGCGAAGGCGACUAUCUGGCACAUAACUGACGCUGAGGAGCGAAAGCGUGGGUAGCAAACAGGAUUAGAUACCCGAGUAGUC